UGGGGAAUAUUGGACAAUGGGCGAAAGCCUGAUCCAGCAAUACCGCGUGUGUGAAGAAGGCCUUAGGGUUGUAAAGCACUUUCAAUUGGAAGGAAAAAUUCGUGGCUAAUAUCCGCGAACUUGACAUUACCUUUAGAAGAAGCACCGGCUAACUCCGUGCCAGCAGCCGCGGUAAUACGGAGGGUGCAAGCGUUAAUCGGAAUUACUGGGCGUAAAGCGUGCGUAGGCGGCUCGUUAAGUCAGAUGUGAAAGCCCUGGGCUCAACCUGGGAACUGCAUUUGUGACUGUAUAGCUAGAGUACGGUAGAGGGGGAUGGAAUUCCGCGUGUAGCAGUGAAAUGCGCAGAUAUCAGGAGGAACACCAAUGGCGAAGGCAGGUCUCUGGGCCAAUACUGACACUGAGGAGCGAAAGUCUGGGGAGCAAACAGG
rnacentral:rRNA from 1 species